ACUCAAAUGAAUUGACGGGGGCCCGCACAAGCAGUGGAGCAUGUGGUUCAAUUCGAUGCAACGCGAAGAACCUUACCUGGGUUUGAAAGGCUCUGUAAACCGGUGAAAGCCGGCUAGUGUAGCAAUACACGCGGAGUACAGGUGCUGCAUGGCUGUCGUCAGCUCGUGCCGUGAGGUGUUAGGUUAAGUCCUGCAACGAGCGCAACCCCUGCACUUAGUUGCCAUCAGGUAAUGCUGGGCACUCUAGGUGGACUGCCUACGCAAGUAGUGAGGAAGGCGGGGAUGACGUCAAGUCCUCAUGGCCCUUACACCCAGGGCCACACACGUGCUACAAUGGUUGGUACAAAGGGUUGCUAAGCCGCGAGGUGGAGCCAAUCCCAAAAAACCAAUCUCAGUUCGGAUUGGGGUCUGCAACUCGACCCCAUGAAGCUGGAAUUGCUAGUAAUCGCGAAUCAGCACGUCGCGGUGAAUACGUUCCCGGGCCUUGUACACACCGCCCGU
rnacentral:rRNA from 1 species